CAAAAUAUGAAUCAAAUUAAUAUAUAUCUAAAAUUAAGAAAAUGGAGUUAUUUACAAAAUGUCAUCUAUAAUAAUUAAAUUAUUUAGGUAAUCAUUUAAAUAUAAUUUGUUAAAUCAAAUUAAUAUAUAUCUAAAAUUAAGAAAAUGGAGUUAUUUACAAAAUGUCAUCUAUAAUAAUUAAAUUAUUUAGGUAAUCAUUUAAAUAUAAUUUGUUACUUAAUGAGUAAAUAACUUUUUUUAAAGAGUUAGAAAGUAUUUCUUCCUAUACUAGCUAUAUACCAAAUACUAAUUCCCGGUUCUCGUCCAUCUAGUAAUAAAACAAGAUUAUAAUAAAACCAAUUGAGGUCAAAUAAAAACUUUAAAAAAAAAUUAGAAUGAUGGUAGUAUAAAUGAUAUAACACUGUGUCUCUCAUUCCCAUUUACUAUACCUAAUAUGCUAUUAACAAACAUAAAGACAUUCACAUGAUAUGAAUUAACAAAAUAGUGAUUAAAAGGAAGAAAAAUAAAUAAGCAGUACUAAUUAAAAGUGAUAGCAACAGUAACUGAAGUAAAACACCUUUUAAAAUGACACUAAACACUUUUCUCCUAGAGCUACCACAAACAACAUCUACACAAUCCCCAAAUGUCCAAUAUACAGGAUACUCACAAAUGCUUUUAUACAAAACAAACACCAUAACAAUGUAAACAAAUCAAAAUUAACAAGAAAAGCCUAUAGAAAAAACAGUACAUGAUAUACCUUGAACCUUAUAAGAAUCUUCCACUGAAUCAAUGUUAUAGAAACUAGUAUAAUAAUGUAGCAUAAUAAAAAAAUAUCUUAUGAAUAUUUACAAGGUUAUUCAUCCCGAAACACACUCCAUGGCAGAACAUACGGCAUUGAAAUUUAUGCAAUAAAACCGACAUGUAAUGCAACCAUAUUGAAACCGAAACAAAUAUUAGAGCUAUAAGCAUGAUUCAACAGCUAGAACAGAACCAAAAUAUGAUACAAGUUCCUGUUUAUAACAGUAUUUUCAACAUUAUAAUAUCGAAUACCAAAACGGUAUAACCCAAUCGGAAAGGAAGUAAAUAUGCAAUUGAAACAGAAAUAUAAUCGAAACAUUUACACGUCAAAGCUGCGAAUGAUAUUUGAUUUUAAACGCGACAACUUAAGCAUACAACAACAACAACACGAUCACAUCGAAAAUACCCCGGAAAAGAAUAUUACAACAUACCCAUCAGUAUAGAUUACUGCAACCGAAUCAAAACCAAAACUAUGGCUGUAACAAACAGCAUAACAUCCAGGAAAACAUGACAUAAACUGUUAUGCGCGAUGCCAACCACAACAACAUAUGACAUUCAUGGUGCAACCUCAACAUACUUAUUUUCAUUUAUUUUCUUAAAAAUAAACACAGCAUCAAUAUACAAAGUUAAAUAUAUCGAAAUUGACGAUUUUGAAUCUUCAUUACAAAAUAUCCGGUUUCGAUAUCACAAAUGCAACUAGCAGUAACUCAAAAUAUGUUGCAUCAUUAACAACUUUUACCACAUGAUUUUGAAAUCUAACCAUAAUGUAAUGAACCCAAAUCGAUAUUUAAGACGAGAAACCAAUACGCAAAAACGGAGAUGCAAUGCAAAUUAAGACCAAAUAACAACAUUUUCCGAUAACAACAUAUCUAAAAGAUAGUCGGCAACACUAACAUAUCUAAAAGAUAGUCGGCAACAAUCUUGAUAGAAAAUAAUCGCAGCAACUUCACCAUUAAGCCAGUACCGAAAUACACAGUGAAUGAACAAUAUAAUCUAAUUAUUUCUAAAAAAAAUCUGAACAUUGAACAAUAUAGUAAAUUUCGAUUCGUUACCGUCGGCAAAACGUUAUCGUGUCGUGUUGAACUCGCUACUGCUGUAUGUCUUCUCUAGGAGUGAUGUUUGAUUUUGUUUGUGGAAGUGGUUUCCUUUCAUACGUUAUGUGCUUGAUGAGCCUUAAAAACUUCACAAUCUGAAUCGUAACUAGCAACAACCAUUAAAGUUGUAUCUACAACAUGGUCGUCAUCCUUGAGAGACCAAGUUGAAAAGUUUGUGCUUCUCCAAGAUUUUCAAUAGCGACGUCUUGUUGUGUUUGGUGACGAUGGAGACGGUUUCUACAGCGGUUACGGAGUUGAAUCCAGUGGAAGGUUAAAGGCGAGGGUUCAAAUCCGCCACCGAUAGAGGAGAACAAAGUUUGGGGCUGCCGGCGAGCGACGGAGAGAGUACGAGUGAGGCGGUGUGUAUGUUGGUGUGGUGUAUCCAACGAUGGAUAUGGGCGGAUGGUAGGUGGUGAAGAAGAAGCGAAGACAGUGGGUGUGUGGGUUUCGCCGGUGGAGACGGACAGAGGGAGAUGAUGUCGGAAAGGGAGUAUUGGUUGUCCUCCUUUGUGGAAAAUGUGAAUAGUGUUGGUUAAAGGAAGAAGAUGAGUGAGGGUGGAAGUGUGAAGGGUUUGUUCGCGAGGAAGAUGAGAAUAAGCUUUUUUUGUUUCUGUUUUGACAGAUGAGAGGGUGAGGUAUUGAAUGGAGAGAGAGUCUAGUAGCCAAGAGAGAGGGAUAAGGUGUCCUUUUAUUUAUUUCUUUUCCAUGUUACCGUUGAAAGCUUUUUUUUCUCUUCUUUUCCAUCUUACCGUUGGAAGCUAUGCAUUGGAGAGAGAGAAUUUUUUUACUUAUUUUCAAAUUUUCUUAAAUAAUAAUAUUAAUUAAAUCCUAAUUUUGAUUGGAUUAAUGGGAUAAAUAUGGAUGGCUAAUAAUGGCCACUGAUUAAUUUGAACCGGUGGCUUGGAUUGAAUCAGAGAAACACACCAAGAAACAUACACUAUUUAAAUAAAUCAAAAUGCAUAUAAUGCCUUUUUUAGAUGAUUUAAUCGAUUUAAAACAAUUUAAAUCAAUUGAAUCAAAUAAAAUUCACAACUUUUUAAACAAUCAUGAUAAAAUUAAAAUAAUAACAUGGAAAAUUCUAUUUAUUCAAUCUGACUAUUUUGACGAAAGAACAAAAUUAAAAUGACUAAAAAUGAAUAAAAGUUGGGCGAAAAUUUGCUCGAAAAAUUAAAUCGGAUGCAUGAAAAUGAUCAGUGUGAAAUAUAUUUAUUGAAAAAUUACAGCGUGUUUUUAAAUUCUGAAAUAAAUUUGCAUCGGUUAAAAGACUCAGGCGGGUCAAAAUGCAACCGAAACAGUCGCUGAAAAAUAUAACGGGCACACCAGUUUAAACUACAUGAACCGUAUGUUAAUAAUACUGGCGUCUGCAAUUUUAAAUUUGAGACUUUUUAUCUGCUGAUUUUGUCCGUACUUGAGAAAAGAUUCAACCGAUUUGUCUGUAUUUUCAAGAAUUUAUUCUGACUGAUAUUUUAGGUUUUAUUCAUGAUGAAAUGCAUGUCAUGCUGUGCGUAUCGUGCAAAUUAAAAAUGGAAUCAGAUUUACGAAAAUUUAAAUAUGGUCGGACAAAAUUGGGGUAUGACAAUGGUGGUGGAGAAUAUGUGUCGAAAUAUUUCGAUGCAUUACGUGUGAAAGAAGGGAUUGUGCAUGAGGUUGUGCCACCAUACACUCAACAGCAAAAUGGAGUCACAUAAAGGAAUAAUAGAACCAUUAUGAAUAUGGUUAGAAGUAUGUUGAAAGGCAAGUAUCUACCCAAAGAGUUAUGGGGAGAAGCUGUGUCGACAUCGACAUAUAUCCUGAACAGAUGUCCAACGAAAAAGCCUAGCUUGAGUCAUCUGUGGGUGUUUGGAUCUAUAGCACAUAGACAUGUGCCAGAUCAGUUAAGAAGAAAACUUGAUAACAAGUCGAGUCAGAUGAUCCUCAUAGGAUAUCAUUCAAUUGGAGGAUACAAGUUAUUCGACCCAAUGAAUAAGCAAGUAGUGAUCAGUAUGGACGUGAUCAUAAAUGAGCUUAAGGAGUGGGAUUGGAUUGAGAAUGUCAAGAGAGAUUCAGUGAGAAUCUUUUAUGAUGAACCAGCUAGUGAAGUCGAAAAAAAAGUUCGACAGGAAGAAGUCAGAGGUGAAGCAGGCCCAAGCAGAUAUCAAAGAACAAGACACAUGGCUACAAGGUUGCAAGAAUGUAUGAUUACAUCAGAUGAUAUGGUUAAUGAAGAAUGUGAGCUGGUAUAUUAUUCUUUCUACGCAGAUGUUGAACCCGUCAAUGCAGCUAAGGCAUUGAAAGAUUCGAAGUGGAUGAAAGCAAUGGACGAAGAGCUGAAGUCAAUCAAAGUCAAUAACACAUGGUCACUUAUCGAAUUGCCCCAAAACAAGAAGGCAAUCGAUGUGAAGUGGGUAUACAAGGUGAAGCGAAUCCCAAAGGAAAGGUGACUCGACACAAGGCGAGACUUGUGGCAAAAGGAUUUCUUCAGAAAGAAGGAAUCGACUUCGAUGAAGUUUUUGCACCUGUUGCUAGGAUCGAAACAAUCAGGUUGGUUGUUGGUCUAUCAAAGAUGAACAACUGGCAAAUGUGUCAGAUGGAUGUGAAAUGUGCAUUCCUUAAUGGCCCCUUAGAAGAAUAAGUUUAUCUUGCACAACCAACUGAGUUUGUGAAACAAGGCGAAGAAAGAAAGGUGUACAGGUUGCAUAAAGCCCUGUACGGACUUAAACAAGCUCCAAGAGUUUGGAACAAGAAGAUAUAUGGCUUUAUAAGGGAGAAUGAAUUUAUGAAGUGCACAAGUGAACAUGGUGUAUAUGUAAGAAGAAGCAAGAGUGAAUUUCUUAUACUAUGUCUCUAUGUCGAUGGCCUGUUGAUAACAGGUAGUUGCAAGAAGGAGAUCGAAGACUUUAAAAGUGAUCUCAACAAGGAAUUUGAAAUGUCAGAUCUGGGUGACAUUUCAUAUUUCCUUGGCAUUGAAUUCUACAAGAGUGGUAAAGGUUUGAUGAUGCAUCAAAGAAGGUAUGCAAACGAAAUACUCAAGAGAUUUGAUAUGCAAGAUUGCAACCCAACUUUGACUCCAGCUGAACCCAUAUUACAACUGUCGAAAUAUUCAGAUGAAGAUGAUGUCGACCCAACCCAAUAUAGAAGACUUAUUGGGUCACUUCGAUACCUUUGUCAUACAAGGCCUGACUUAGCAUACAAUGUAGGUAUGGUGAGUAGGUGUCGCAUUACGCGAAAAACCGGCGGGAAAACGAAACAACAGAGCCGCCACCGUGCGUUAUUUAUCCCAAAGGAGGGAAAGGAAACGCUCGAAGUAAACCUGGGAAAGACAUGGUCUCGCGACCGGAAUCCGGUCGCGAGACCAUGUCUUUCCCAGGUUUACUUCGAGCGUUUCCUUUCCCUCCUUUGGGAUAAAUAACGCACGGUGGCGGCUCUGUUGUUUCGUUUUCCCGCCGGUUUUUCGCGUAAUGCGACAGCUGGCGACUUUGCUGGGGAUAGAAUAGCCUUUAAACCUGCUACCCUACUGCUGGGGAAUAACAAUUCUAAUAGCUUUCAGACUUGCUUGGGGAACAACCAUUCUCAAGCCUGCUGGGGAGACAUCCUCAACCAUUAGGAACAAUUUACCCACCGACACCUCUACUAGGGAUAUGGCAACCUUCAGGCUCGUUGGGGAGACACCGAUCUCGAAUCUGCUGUGGAGAUAACACUCCCAAAUCCACUGGGGAGAUACGACUUAUUUGACAUGGAACGCCCAUCGAUUCGUCGAACACCGGCAUUCAUUAUCUAACCACAGUGUCAACUUUCCACUCUUGAGAGACUCCCAGACUCAUCCGGUCUUUUCGGAUCCAUCACCCAGUAUUCUCGUCUCUUCCUUGCUUUGAGACGAAUGAUCUCCUCAGAUCCGGGCAAACUCUCCAAUCUUCAUACUUUGAAGAGUCUUCUUGAUUACCCUCUAGGAUCGUCAUCGCAAUUCUUUCAUCUCUUCACUGUUCUUCUAUCCCUUGCCCCUGAUUGGGCUCUGCAAGGAUCUUCUGUCAAAGUGUUACCCAUCACAAACUGCAAGUGGGUGGAUAUAUCUAACAGCACCUGCACAAGAGAUCGUUAUAUAAAAGCAUGCCCCAGGCGUGCCAACAUUUCAACACCUAGGUCACUCAAACUUCCGAAUAAGAUUUCCAGAUUUCAAUCUUAUAAGAAUGCAUCGGAAGGGACCUCUAUGUUUCAAAAUGCAAAUAUUCUUAUAAAAAAUAAACGGAUGUUUUCGCAAUCAAAGCGGUAAUGAAGACAAAAACAAAAUUAUUUGACUGAACAUGCAUUUAUUGACUGAAAAAGGUGGCUCAAAACCGAGCAACACACAGGAAGCAAUCCCUGGAAAGAGGUGAUCGCGCACAAAGGAAAAAUCUAUCCAAUGGCAAUGUGAAACUGUGAUCCAUCUCAUCGGUUUCAACUCGGUUACACCCCAUAUGUCCUCAAGACUUUCCGCACUUUCUGUCUUCUGAACAAGACGCUUUACUCGAUCGAUCGUUAACCAAAAUAUCAACGAUUAUGCUGGACGCAGUUGUUCGUUUCAAUCCCUCUUUUGCCUGGACCGCCCUUUCGGGUUUUCAGUCCACCGGGAUACCCUUUUUUGCCCAAGCCGCCCUUGUGGAGUUUUCGACUUGCCGGGUGUACAGUUUUUCCUUUUAUCCCUAAUUUUUUCCCGAACCUUUUCCUUUUCUUUUGGUUCGCCUGGAUGCCCAUUUUUGCCUGGACUCUUUUAUUCUUUUCAUCCAGCGGGUCUCUUUUACGAAGUAUCUUUUAACUGCGUUCGCAUUCACAGGGGAUGGAAAAUCCUCACCAUCCAUGGUCGUCAACAACAAGGCUCCACCAGAGAACGCCUUCUUGACCACGAAUGAGAUCCAUAACUGUAUGUCCACUUGCCCCUACGAUCGUCUUGAGGAGGAAAGAUCCUUUUCAACAACACGUCUCCCACAUGAUACGCACGAAGUUGCACUUUUCAGCCACAAGCACGUUUCAUUCACUGGGUACAACUGCUCAUGACAAAUAACUGCCAGUCCCUUUUUUCAAUCGGGCUCCCUUCAUACCGAGUCCUUAUCCACUCGGCCUUUUCUAAUUUUACGCCCACCAGGACUCUCCAUGAUGGGAUCUAGACCUCAGCAGGUAAUACCGCUUCUAUCCCAUACACGAGCGAGAACGGCGUUGCCCCAGUAGACGUACGCACCGAAGAUCGAUACCCAGGAUACAAGCUUCAUACUCAGCCACCAUUGUUGGUGCAUUCAAAUGUUAUCCGGGCAACAAAAGAAAUGUGGGAUCUUUUCGGCGUAACCAAAACGGCACUAACUCAUCCACAUUAACCUCUCCCCAUCAGACAUCAGAAUCUGUUCGGAUUCAGGGUCAGACCCCUCCUCCGGGAUCGGUUCCUCACAAUCUUUCGAUUUGAGCACCUCGAGAUGUCCUCAUCAGGGAACUCAAACUUCCUUGGUUGAUAAUCCUCAAUGGGUUGCGUGGCGAGGUAAUCAGACAGUACACUCCCCUUGAUUGCCUUCUGAGAGGUGUAUUGAAUAUCGUAUUCAGUCAACAUCAUUUGCCCUCUCGCCACCCGUCCGGUCAAUGCUGACUUCUCAAACGCAUACUUGAUCGGAUCCAUCUUGGACAUCCACAAAGUGGUAUGAACCAGCAUAUACUACAACAUCAUUUGCCCUCUCGCCACCCGUCCGGUCAAUGCUGACUUCUCAAACGCAUACUUGAUCGGAUCCAUCUUGGACAUCCACAAAGUGGUAUGAACCAGCAUAUACUGUCUCAGUCGGCGAGCAACUUAUGCCAAAGUACAAUAAGUUUUCUCGAGCAGUGAAUGUAUUGUUUCACAGUCGGUAAACUCUUUGCUAAGGUAAAUUGCAUGCUCUUUUCGACCAGACUCGUCAUGCCGACCCACUACACACCUCAUAGACCCCUCGAGGGCUGUCAAGUACCAGAUUAAUAGUUGUUCCUUCCACAGGAGGCAUCAGAAUCAGAGGUUCCUGCAACUUAUUCUUUUAUCUUUCAAUGCCCCUUGGCAAUCAUUAUUCUACCUGACCUUUUGAUCUCUCUUUUUUCUUGAAUGGGUUCCCACGUGGCUAUUAGAUGAGAUAUGAACCAUGAAAUGCAAUUCAAUCUAUCUAAGAAACCACGAACCUUCUUUUGUUUUCGGUUCAGGCAUUUCUUGUAUUGCUUUUUUCUUUGUCUUUUUUUUAGCAGGACAACACUCCACCAGUGCACUGAUUCGGACUCAACCUCAGUCUGAGCUGUCUCAAACGGUCGAACGACUUGCCCCGGCCUACCGGAUGCCCCAUCUUCUGCUUGGGGCUUUGCUAUCAUGUCAUGAUCAUAGCAUUCGAUUCCACGAUGAAUCAUAUCAUGAAACAAAGUCACCAUAGACCUUUGAUACGUGGCACCGGCCUUCUUGAGACUGAAUGGCAUCACCUUAUAACAAGAAGGUGCUCUCUGAUGUGAUGAACAAUGUUUACUCCAUAUCAUCUGGCAAUAAAUCAAUUUGAUUUCGGCCAAAAAAACCAUCCAUGAAGGAAAACACCGAGAACUGAGCAGUAUUAUCAUCCAACAUAUCAAUGUGAUCAUACUUCAGACUGGCUCUGUUCUCAUCUCGGUAGUCCACACACAUUCUCACCUUCCCAUCCUUUUUCGGCACCGGCUUCUGCUUCACUGGAGGACAGUCUUCUCUUAAUGCUAGCUUGUGCCCCAUAACAUUGGUAUUCCACCCUGGCAUAUCCUGAUACAACCAGGCGAAGAUAUCAACAUGUUCUUUCAGCAGUACUACCAUUCUACUAUUGACACUUGCCUCUGAAGCGGCCCCAACUUUCACUUCCUUUCUGACCUCGGCGGUGCCUGGAAUAACAAUCUUGAAUCGCUCCUCAUCCUGUUAAAUCACCCUCUCCUCUUGUUUCAACAACCUGGCUAAUUUCAGCAGAUCACAAUCUUCUUCGCCCUAUUCUUUGGCAUGAUGGAUCGGAUUGUCGAAGUCAUACAGAGGUGUAACCGAAUUGUUAUCAAUGAGAUCAGGAGGAUAGUCUCUUUUGAGGUCGGAACAAGACGAAUCAAAAGGAAAGAAGAAUGAAAAUAAACAUUGCCAUUUUUAUUUUUAUAUUUUUAACUGCAAAAAUAAAUGAAAGACAGGGAACACCGCCUUUAAUCACAAAAACAUCCAUUUAUUAAUGAUGCAAAAUGUUGCACAAUGAAACACAUGAGAUGGCCCUUACAAUGGACCAUUACGUUUCAGGCAAAACGUAUGGCUUUCAUGCAAACAGAAUUGAAAAACAGAAAUACUACUCUUCAUGAUGAGUGACAGUGAUUAUCUUUGAGGCCUUCCAGUUCCCUGGUACGCACGAUUUUAUCCACAACUCAAGCUCGCGGUCACUGUCAAUCUCUUCACCCACUGUACAGGCGUGACCUGGAUCCAGCAUUCCGGCACUGACAAAUGUGAACGGUUGACAACGUCCUCUAUUUUGUCUAGACGACUCUUGAUCUGGCUGAUAGCCAACCCCGAACAUAUCCGCUUUCACCACAAUGUCUAUGAUCUUCCCCCAGCCUAGGGCUUCUCCGUUCUUCACCACUUCCAUGGCCCUGUUUUGUAAGAAGAAAUGGACAGCUUCUUCUCUUUAUGCAAGCACAGAUGGCCCUCUCCACCUUGACGGUUUCAACUGCCUGACUUGGUGUUUCAAAUUUUUCACCGUCCAUUUCUACUUCCAUCAUCCUCUGAAUCGUUUCCCCCAUCACUACACACCCGUUUGUGGCGACAGCCGCACAACAGUUAUCAACACUAGGGAAUGCUCCACUCUUCAUCAGAUGUUUUAGGACCACAGACUUUGGAAUUUUUAACUGAUCCCCAUUAGUCACCUCUAUUCCUCUCUUGUCCCUUGACAUCACUUUCACCUCUACAGGACCUGGCACGGGGUUGGCGUUAACAUUCAGUAUCUGUGCCAAACUGAUAGCCUUAGAAUCCACCAUAUCUUGGACGACAUGCUUAAAGGCUCUACAACCCUCAAUGUUAUGUCUUGGUGCCCCAGAAUGGAACUCGCACUUGGCAUUCUCAUCGUAGUUUGCAGGCCUCUGAUGCAGUUCUACAGGAACCAAUAUCCUUGGCCGAACUAACCCAAGAUCCCUCAAACUCUUGAGCAGAAGGGUAUAAGUCACGGGUGGCUUAUCAAACUGACGAUCCGUCGCCCCCUUCUUCACUUCGCCCUUAGCUUUCGGUGCCUUUUGUUGAGGUAGCGGUUGUUGCUGUUGUACAGGUGGAUUACCAAUAGGAGUGAUUAGAGUGGCAGCAUAAGGGUGGUAACGAUCCUUACCGCGUUCUUUCUUGGCCUGCACACCACCUGAUUCAACUUCCUUCUUGAGUUGACCACUGUCAGAGGACUUCUUUACUACGGACGACGGAGCCUUUCCCUGAACUUUCUCCUUUAUCAUCCAGCUUUCAAUCCUAUCCAACCUCUCAGUAAUUGCUUUCUGCCCCAAGGCGAGCCCUUGCACGACUUUGAACAACUCCCUCAUCAUCUCUUUCAAUUCGAGAAUGUCGGUGUUAGACGGAUCCAUCAGUCUGAGUUUGUUGAGUUUGGCAGGAUGUCUGAACGGAAGAGCUAUGCGCACUGGUUAGAUACUGACACCUACAAAACAACAAACAAGUUAAUAUGACUCACACGUGCAAUGUCUAUCCGUACUAGGAAUAUUCUGUCCUUCUGAUUCUGGCUUCCUCGAGACGGAUAAUAUUUUAACAAUAACAUUCUGUCAUCAGGAUGUCUCUCAACCAGAAUCUCAAUCAAAAAUGGACCCUGAGUACGGAUAGACAUGGGUUAAAUGCAGAUGGAUGCGAAAUGGGAAUGAUGCAAAUGCAUGCAGGCAGGUCACUGUGCCAUCUUCCAAGUCAACUGAGGAUCAACUGUACUGGACCGGUCUCUGAACUGAUUACAAUCAUCUGAGGGCCCGAGUAACCAUAAAUCCAACUUGGGGAGUUCCGAAAUAAAUAGAACCAGGGGAUAUACCACUAUUAUCACAAGAAAUCCACUGAACGAAUGACAACCAGAUCCUCUGAACAAUUAUCCUCAAAUUCAACCCGGGAAUCCGAAAUAAACGGAACCCGCUGAUAAAUAUCACGGACAGAAUUCCGGCAUCUCAGAGAUAGAUAUCCAUAAGUCCAUCUGAACCAUAAUCACCAUCAGUACCUGCAAAUGAUUCAAUCCCUCCCCACUCACGGGUGUCAUCUAGGCCAAGGUAAGGUCAAGAGAAACGCAGGAUAAAUAACCCUUUCAAAGAUAUCAUCAUGUACAAACCAGAUGUAUGCACCGAUAAUACCCCAUCAGAGUCUGAACUGAAGGAGAAUUGCGGUCCAAAACGCAGCGGAAAUUAAAAUUUCUCCUUUAGAGAUCCUUACGAAUGGUCAUGAUCAGUGAUAGAAUGUUUACCUCUUGUGAUGAUCGAAACCUUUGGUGCAGAUCUCUGUCGAUCAAAACCUUUGAUGCAGAUCCACGAAGCGAUCACGAACGUUGAACGAUGACAACGUCUCUACUCAGUCCACACGAACGGGUUCCUUCAAUCUUAGUGCUAGUUGGUACGAAUGAAGGCUUGAGCGAGAGAGAGAGAGAGAGUGAGAGAAACGAAAAUAAUGCAACCGCUAUUAAUGCUUCUGCACAAGGUUCUAUUUAUAGAACCACUUGUGUGGGUUCAAGCUAAAAAGCCCACUUAAGUGUAUUUUGGCCCAUAUCUUACAAUAUGCCCAAAAUCACUUAAGCCCAUGGUACCUUACUAUUUCGUAUAUCUACUCAAGUACACCGUACUUACGAUGUUCUAUAACUCAUUUAAGGGCACCGUACCUUACGGUAUUCCUUAGUACUCUAUCUCUCAUCAAUCCGUCCUUUGUGUGUGACCCUGUAGGUUUUCGUGACGUUGCAAUUAUAUUAAAUCACGCAUUAACAUAAUAAACAGUGAGCGGUAUCUAGCAACACAUCACUGCUACCCAAGACACGAAAAUGUCAUGUGAUCUGACAAAACCUUUUGUGAUAAUACUUAUGUGUAUAAUUACCUUUUGCCCUUAUGUCUAUAUUGAACACAAGGCAUAGACGUGUCAUCCUUGUCUAGUUCAAUAUUGGGCCCAUGACAUUUAUCCUGUUAUGCAGGAUGGGCAAAUUCCAUCUAGGGUCACUCAUGUCCCUCAGCAUGCUUCGUGGAGUACCCAUCAACUGUCUUUAUGGUUAUCCAGUUACGGACAACGUUGGAUCAGCAAUAAAGCACUUAACUCUACAUCUAGGAUCCAUAGUGGUUUCAGGUCGAAGAGUGGAAUACACUAUUAUCACCAUGAGAAUAACUUAUGACACUAUGCAUAACUUUCUAUAUAGUAUUCUCAUAGCGGGUCAAUCCGGUAUAAAUAUUACUCCUAAUAUUCAUACCUAUGUUUAAGACUUGAAACUCUUUAUCCAUGAUCCAUGAGAUGUGAUCAUCAGUCUACAAACAUAAUAGUCUUAAUGCUUUAAUGUUAUCCCACUUCACACUAAAGCUCGACUACGGAUACUUUAAGAAUAGUGUCCUUAUGUUUAAUGUGUUCUCAGAUUAAGUCACACUUAAUACAUUAACGGACUAUCUAUUCCAGGGACUUUAUUAAUCAACCAUAAUAAAGAAAAUGCCUUUAUUAUUAAUAAAUAAUUCGAUACAAGUACCAAAAAUGUUGGCCUCUAGGGCUUACACCAACAAUCUCCCACUAGCACUAGAGCCAAUCAGGCUACCCGUAUGCCCAUUGAUCUAGUAUGGCCAUCAUGCUUCUGCUGCGCAAGAGGCUUUGUCAGUGGGUCAGCUAUAUUGUCAAGUGUAGGUACUUUACAUAUUUUCACAUCUCCUCUAUCUAUUAUCUCUCGAAUGAGAUGAUAACGCCUGAGAUGUGUUUGGAUUGUUGGUGAGAUCUAGGCUCCUUGCUUGUGCGAUAGCACCAUUGUUAUCAUAAUAGAGACCAAUGGGAUCCACAAUGCUAGGACUAUGCCAAGUUCACUAAUGAACUUUUGAUCCAACAAACUCCCUUUUCUGCAUUUGAGGCAGCAAUAUACUCGGCCUCGAUUGUAGAAUCAGCAACUGUAUCUUUGCUUUGAACUUUUCAAGCUCACAGCGCCACAUUUAAGCAAAACACAUAAUCAUUGGAAUCAUUCAUAUUAAAGCGUCUCAGCACCUUGUCUAUGUACUCUGACUUAGGCAAGCAUUUCAUGAUCUAUCUCUAUAGAUUCUAAUUCCUAAUAUAUAGGCUGCUUCACCUAGGUCGUUCAUAGAAAAGCAUUUCCCAACCAAGACUUUAUUUGUUGCAGGGUAGUGACAUCGUUUCCAAUGAGUAAUAUUCAUCUACAUAAUAUCAGGAAAACGAUCAUGCUCCCACUAACUUCUUGUAGACACAAGGCUCAUCUUCGUUCUUGAUGAAUCCAUAUUGUUUUACUGUUUCACAAAACGAAGAUUCCAUGAGUAGGUCACAGGCUCAUCUUGAUCCAUGAGUAAUACAUCACCUUGAUCAGAUAUCCAUAUAUUCAGGUGGUACGUAUCCUGCGCUGACCGUGGUCUUGCUCUACUUGAGCAGGUUGCUCUUACAAACUACUUGUGUUUCCUGCUCAAUUCUUCCAUAGGUGUGUCGAUGUUUGUGAUUCUUGAAUUUCUUCAAGCUUACUUUCCUCCACUGGUUCCUUUGGAAAUAAAAUUAUUUCUAGGAAAACUCCAGUUCGAGUGACAAACACUUGCCCUCAGAAGGAUUGUAGAAGUAAUACCCUCUUGUUUCUUUAGGAAUACCCCACAAAAAGCAUUUUUCAGAUUUGGCUCAAGCUUAGUUGAAUUUGUCGUUUCACAUAAACCUCCACCCAAAUCUUUAUGUAAGACAUAUGUGUUUCUUACCACAUCCAUAUCUCAUUAUGGUGUCUUCUCACCUUUUGGAUGGACAUGUUAAAGUGUGUAAGUUGUUGUCAAUGUCCCCAAAAGGAGUUUGAAGAUCGGCGUGACUCAUCAUGGAUCAGCACCAUGUCUAACAGUUCGAUUUCUUCUCUCAGAUAACCAUUCCAUUGGGGGUUCCAGGAGGAGUAAGUUGGGAUAGGAUCCACACUCUUUCAGAUGGUCAUCAAACUCUAGCUUAAAUACUCACCACCUCGAUCUGAUCGAAGAGUUUAAUAUUCUUACCUAGUUGGUUUUAACUCGUCAAGUUUCACCUUUUAGUAUUAAUGUUAUUAAUAGGCAUUCGAGAUCAAGGACAUAAAGUCCAUUGCUCAUUUGUGCAGUAGCAUAGAAUAUAUCAUUCAAAUAAAUUGAGCACAAUUGUUUUAUUAUAAAUGAAAAACCAAACUUGUCCAGACAAGAAAUGGAAAUAAUAUUCUGCUAAUUGCAGGUACAUAAUAACAGUUCUCUAACUGAAUUAUAAAACCACUAGGUAAAGUCAAAUACAUAGAUCCUCUACGGCUAAAGUAGCAACCUUUGCUCCAUUGUCAACUCGUAAGUCACUUCACCUUUGCCAAAUCUCUACUCCCUUUCAGCCCCUGCACAUUGUACAAUGUGAGAACUGCAUCCAGUAUCUAAUACCCAUGAUGCAGAAGUAGAUAAAUUAUAACAAAAAAUACCUUAAGUUGAAGUCUCUACUCCAUUCUUCUUAUCUCCAGGUAUUUGGGCAGGUUCCUUUCCAGUGUCCUGUCUUACCGCAAUGUAAGCAGUGCCUUCUUUUGCUAUGCCUCCACUAGGCUUCAAAGCCAGUAGUGUGUCUGGGAUUGGCAACUUUCUUGCCCUUCCUUAUCACUCUGCUUAGUGGGCUUUUGUUCUGUCUCUUCCAUUUCUGAUCAUCAGAAUGGAUUCCUUUUGACUUCACGAUUCUGCUCGGCAGUCUUAACAUGGCGAGCAGUUCAGGAGAGAUUUAUCCAUAUCAAUACAUAUUGAAAUUUAGGACAAAUUGACUGAAAGCUAUCUGGCAACGAUUGCAAGAUCAAUCAGUUGUAAGUUCCUUUUCGAGGGGAAAACCAUAUCUCAAGGUUUUCCACAUACCCAUCAUCUGAGUACACUGGGGACCUACAGGGCUCCCUCAGCUAACUUGCUUUUGAAAAGGGCUUUUUGAAUUCAACCCUCUCAUGCCUUGCUUACUCUUGGAUAGAGCAUCUUCAGGUGUUCGAUCAUAUCGAACGCUGACAUGUUCUCCUGUUGCUUUUGUCAAUUUCUGAGUUCAUGGUUAGCCAGUCAUGAGACAAGCAGUUCAUUGCAUCAUCGACAUGCUUCUUAUAAGCAUCUCUUCUGCUUAGUGCAGAACUAGGAGUUCCUCUUCAGAACAGUGUCUCCAAGAUUACAGCUUUUAUCAUGUUUGAGGACAAACUCAGUUUCGUGCCAAUCCAGAAAAUUUGUCCCAGACAAUUUUUCCUUGCGAAGGAUUGAUCGCAAGAUGUUGUUAGAGUGGUUUGCUGUCACGGUUUACUACAAAGGAUUAAGAAAAUAUAAGUAUCAUUGACAUAUUUAAUUAGCCUUAAUCAAUAUUGCCUCCACUAUUUUACUCAAACAAUGACCCUCAUCAUUUGAUUCGGAAUCCGUUGGAAGAUUUUCUAGUGGGUCGAGAUCAUAUUUCACUUCGUUCUAAGUCGCGUAGGCGGAUACACAAAACUAGGUUAUUUAGGUAGAACUCCUUCCAAUUGUAUCUCAUACAACUCUCGAAAAUUUAGUUGGGUGAAUAACUCCUAUUCGAAUCCAUCAUAUGAUCUUCCCACUCUUUGCUUCUAAAAUAUAUGAUAUUAUUAUAAUUAAGUUUGACCAUUGUCUUAGCAGUUGGAUAUUACAAUUAUCCCACUGCACCUUACUAAUAUAGAACAUGCACCUCGCUUGGUGAAACCUACAUUAUCCAUACUAGUUCUUGAUGAGUGCUAAACUUGGAAAGCAAAACAUAUAAAUAUCAUCAUAAUUGUUUAGUUAAGUUUGACCAUUGUUUUAACAUUGGAUAUAUACAAUUAUCCAUCGCACCUUACUAAUAUAGAACAUGCACCUCGCUUUGGCGAAACCUACAUAUCCGAUAUAGUCUUGAUGAGUGCUUAAAACUUGGAAAGCAUAAACUAAUAUUUAGUUUGAGGAAUUGCAAUAUUGUUAUGAUCUCACCGCUUAUUUAUCAUAUAAAUCGUCUCUCACAUGCAUCAACUACAUUCACAUGCAUCAACAUAACAUACACAAUGAACAGUUAUGCCCUAGCGCAAUUGUUUCCCAAGCAUGAGAGAACCUAAGCUAACCUAAUAACGAUCUAGCUUCUCCAAGCAAGAUCUUCAAGGUUGUCCUCCUUAGAUUGAAUUCUUCUCUAAGCUUCUCCAAGCAGAUCUCAGGUUGUCCUCCUUUGAUCUUGAAUUCUUCUCUUUCUUCAUAACAUUGUUUCUUCUCUUUCCACAGUAUUACAUUCCAGAGAAACUCGUUUUACAUACGAGGGUUUGAGAUGAGAAAAGAAGUUACAUAAGAAUCAAAAGGAGAGGCACGACACGCAGGUCGUAUUUAAAAAACCCAAAACAAAAUAAAGGAUAACUAAGGCCAUAACUGAUCACCACAAGACAAUAAUAACAAACACAUUAUUAUUAUUAUUAAUUUUUAAUUUCUUUAAUUAAUUAAAACCAAAUCAAAUUUCGGCGACCGAUCACACUACGCAGAGUUAGCCGGGGGUUCCGCUGUCCAAAAUUUUAAUGAACAAUUCAUUUGAAAUGGACAUUGUUUUUGCAUCAACACAACUCUUGCGUAGGCACAAAAAUAGAAACCCCAAAAUUUUGACUCUGUGAGUGUGAUGACCGUCACAGGCCAUGUGAGUGUGACGACCAUCACACAAAACACGUUACGACCGUCACAGGGCCAAAAACAGAAACGCCUAGUUUUCUAGACUUGUGAAUGUGACGACCGUCACAAAGCACGUGACGACCGUCACGCCCAUCAUGUUACGACCGUCAUGGGUCUGUUACGAACGUCACGCGUCUUGUUACGACCGUUACGCAUCCAAAAUAACAGAACUUUGAAACAGUCUACCGACCUGUUCCAAAACCCUAAAUUCACAACUCCUUGACGGCACAACCCUUGCGCCGUCACCAACCCUAAUGCGCCAAUUUCAGACCGUCAAACACACCUCGAUUAUUGAUUCAGUAUGAUUGAUCAACAGGUCAUUGCUUCACCAUACUAAUGUCGGAUUCCGAAGCAAAUGACCAUUGAUCGCUCAAAGGAAAACAAUCAUUUAGUGUUCGAAUGAACGAAACAGAAACAGUAUAUCACAUAUACCGUACUUUGCAUUAGGAUUACUUAUAUCAUAUAUAAGUUGAUCGGUCUCAAUUGCGUAACCUAUGGACGAUCGAUGUAUCGCUGCUUCACCAUACUAAUGUCGGAUUCCGAAGCAUAGUCAACAUCAAUCAUCCAACUCGUACACUCAUGAUGCCAAAUUUAAUUACUCGUUUAAUUAAUUGAUUCAUUCUGUCUUUUAAUCAUAUUAAUACAGAAAAUAAACAGCUAUCCGAGUCAUGGUUUCGUAAGUGGCUCUGAUACCACUGAAGGAGAAUUGCGGUCCAAAACGCAGCGGAAAUUAAAAUUUCUCCUUUAGAGAUCCUUACGAAUGGUCAUGAUCAGUGAUAGAAUAUUUACCUCUUGUGAUGAUCGAAACCUUUGGUGCAGAUCUCUUGUGACGAUCAAAACCUUUGAUGCAGAUCCACGAAGCGAUCACGAACGUUGAACGAUGACAACGUCUCUACUCAGUCCACACGAACGGGUUCCUUCAAUCUCAGUGCUAGCUGGUACGAAUGAAGGCUUUGAGUGAGAGAGAGAGAGAGAGAAAAAGAGAGAGAGAGAGAGAGAGAGAGAGAGAGAGAGAGAGAAAACGAAAAUAAUGCAACCGCUAUUAAUGCUUCUGCACAAGGGUUCUAUUUAUAGAACCACUUGUGUGGGCUUCAAGCUAAAAGGCCCACUUAAGUGUAUUUUGGCCCAUAUCUUAUAAUAUGCCCAAAAUCACUUAAGCCCAUGGUACCUUACCAUAUUUCGUAUUCUACUCAAGUACACCGUACCUUACGAUGUUCUAUAAUUCACUUAAGGGCACCGUACCUUACGGUAUUCCUUAGUUACUCUAUCUCUCAUCAAUCCGUCCUUUGUGUGUGACCCUGUAGGUUUUCGUGACGUUGGCAAUUAUAUUAAAUCACGCAUUUAACAUAAUAAACAGUGAGCGGUAUCUAGCAACACAUCACUGCUACCCAAGACACGAAAAUGUCAUGUGAUCUGACAAAUCCUUCUGUGAUAAUACUUAUGUGUAUAAUUACCCUUUUGCCCUUAUGUCUAUAUUGAACACAAGGCAUAGACCGUGUCAUCCUUGUCCAGUUCAAUAUUGGGCCCAUAGACAUUUAUCCUGUUAUGCAGGAUGGGCAAAUUCCAUCUAGGUCACUCAUGUCCCUCAGCAUGCUUCGUGGAGUACCCAUCAACUGUCUUUAUGGUUAUCCAGUUACGGACAACGUUGGAUCAGCAAUAAAGCACUCGACUCUACAUCUAGGAUCCAUAGUGGUUUCAGGUCGAAGAGUGGAAUACACUAUUAUCACCAUGAGAAUAACUUAUGACACUUUGCAUAACUUUCUAUAUAGUAUUCUCAUAGCGGGUCAAUCCGGUAUAAAUAUUACUCCUAAUAUUCAUACCUAUGUUUAAGACUUGAUAACUCUUUAUCCAUGAUCCAUGAGAUGUGAUCAUCAGUCUACAAACAUAAUAGUCUUAAUGCUUUAAUGUUAUCCCACUUCACACUAAAGCUCGACUACGGAUACUUUAAGAAUAGUGUCCUUAUGUUUAAUGUGUUCUCAUGAUUAAGUCACACUUAAUACAUUAAACGGACUAUUUAUUCCAAGGACUUUAUUAAUCAACCAUAAUAAAGAAAAUGUCUUUUAUUAUUAAUAAAUAAUUCGAUACAAGUACCAAAAAUGUUGGCCUCUAGGGCUUACACCAACAUGAACUGCUCGUGAUAUCAUGUUCCGCUAAGUGGCGCUAUACCACCCGCUUCCCAUGGAUCACUCUAUUCCUAGGUAUCCUAGAGUUCAAUCAUAGCCUGGGUAUUGGGCCUUUUACCUCUUGUAACUCCCACUCCACAAAGAGACAGACACACAGCCAGCACAAUAAUAAUAUGAUGCAUGCAAACACAUAAUGCACAUAUAUACAAUCACAUCAUAAUCAUAAAUGCAAUAAAUAAAACAGUAAAAGCAACCAACAACUAUCCUAAAGAACGCUAGGAUUGACUCGCUUAGGGAAGAUGGACCAGCAAGAGGUCAACUUCUCGGAUAAUCCCCAGCAGAGUCGCCAGCUGUCGCAUUACACGAAAAACCGGCGGGAAAACGAAACAACAGAGCCGCCACCGUGCGUUAUUUAUCCCAAAGGAGGGAAAGGAAACGCUCGAAGUAAACCUGGGAAAGACAUGGUCUCGCGACCGGAGAGAGAUGGGAUUGGGAGUCGGUUAUGCGUAGGUUCAUGCAGAAGCCAAAGGUAUCACAUCUAGCAGCGGCGAAGAGGAUACUAAGGCAUCUGAAAGAAACUCUCGACUAUGGAAUUUUGUUUCCUGCAGCUGAUGAAGGAAAAAAAUGCAAAUUAGUGGGAUACACCGACUCAAGUUGGUGUAGUGAUGCUGAGGAUCGAAAAUCCACAGCUGGCUAUGUGUUUAUGCUAGGUGGUGCACCAGUUGCUUGAAGUUCGAGAAAGGAACCAGUAGUGGCAUUAUCGUCGUGCGAAGCAGAAUACAUAGUUGCUUCUCUUUGUGCAUGUCAAGAAACGUGGAUGGUGAAUCUGGUCGAAGAAAUAACAACGAAGAGUCAUGGAGCAAUUACCAUGAAGAUCGACAACAUGUCAGCUAUCAAUCUGGUGAAGAAUCCGAUAACACAUGGUUUAAGCAAGCACAUCGAGAUGAGGUUCCAUUAUCUUCGAGAGCAGGUAGCAGAUGAGAAAAUGAAUGUGGAACACUGCAGAAUUGAGAAUCAGAUUGCAGACAUCAUGACAAAGGGAGUGCAGGUCGAAGUGUUCAGAAUACUAAGAGCUAUGAUGAGUGUAGACAGCUUAAACACAAUGAAUUAGGUGGUGAUUGAAUUAUAAUUUUUUGUGUCGAUACAAUUUGCUCGAUAGAAUAAGGAAGUGUCAAACUACCUAGUAUGUUGAGUUAUGUUAGUGUGUCGAAGCAUGUUGCUUCACACAGGAUUUAGAUUUAGGCCUAUUUUAGUAGUGUUGGCUUUUAUAGUUUUGGACUUUGGCUUGAGGUCCAAGUUAACCUAAACCUAUAAAUAGAGGGAGUAACCCUUAUUUUUGUAAUGAAGUGAAUAGAGUAUUCAUAACACUUGUAAUUCAUAGUAUUUUGCAGUUGCAAAGUGAAUAAAAAGUUUUUCAUAGUUUGUGGGCAGAGAGAAACUCUGCAGAAUUCAAUUCUUCUUCUCCUUCAUCGUUCUUUACACUCUUUCUUUCUCCAUUGUUCUUUUCUUUUCAUUGUUAUUAUGUGGGUGAUAACAAUCUUGUUCAUCAAGAUUGGUUGAAAUUCUCCAUAGGUUUUGGUGGAUUUCCAACAGAAAUUGGUUUACCUAAGAUAAAAAUUUCAAAAGAAAAUAUAUAUGAUGCAUGUGAAAUGAGAAAGAAAACAAGAAUGUCUUUCAACCGAGGGACUCACCCUUAAUUGAGAGACUCACUCCUAAUUGAGGGAUUCAUCCUUAAUUGAGGGACUCACCCCUAAUUGAGGGACUCACCUCUAACUAGGAGACUCGUCCCUGACUAAGGGACUUGACCUCAACUAAGGGACUCACCCCUAACUACGAAACUCACUAAAGGAAAUAAAUGGCUUAAAACUAUGAGGAGAACAUGCUUAAUCACUUUUCCCCUUACAACUCAUAAUGUUUGAGGGACUGUGUAGUAAUAUAUUUGUAAAGGCCCAUAAUAGAGCGAUAUGGGGCCAAACCUCAUCAGGCACUGCCCUAGAAUCUACCGCCUAGACAUAACUCCCACUUAGUAGGUGGCCUCAACUAAUAAGAAACACGGGGGAUGACGUGUACAUAGUCUAUAACCACAUGUGCAAUAAGCUAUGCUCAUAAUUCCCUAGGAAGUAGGCAGUCAACAGUUUCCUUAUUCAAGGUGGAGCAGUUACUACUUCUUAGGAGCCCCAAAAUCUAUGCCCAUAAGCCUCUAUAAAUAUCUCACCAUAAGGGUUAAGGAGAUAUUCUGAAUUCACCAUGAAAUACCCUCGUGAGCUUGCUCUCACAUCACAUAAAACACCGCUAAACAUGACCUCUCACCACUGCAAAUUAUAAAGCCUCUGGACAUCCCUACCAGUAUAGGGGUGCAAUGCAUUUGUACUUUUUUUAGCAAGUACGAAGAAGUCAAAAUAAGUAAAUUGAGAAGUUAGAUCAUUUAUCUUGUUUUCUUUAUAAUUUUCCAUGAGACAUAUGUUGACUUCUUCCUCUUUUUCAAAUUCAUCGGAGGAGUCCGUAUCAUUAUCAUUCCAUGUUAUUUAUGUCUUCUUUGUUUCUUUUUGAGGACUUUAUGUCUUUUAGUUUGUUUCUUAUUUUGAGGGCAAUUUGGCUUUAUGUGACAUUUAUUUCUGCACUAGAAGCAUGUUAGCACAAAGGAUGAUCUUUCUUUAUUUUUAUGUUGGAAACUUUGAGGUUGAUUUUUGUGCCAUAUGAACUUUUUGAAGUUGUAAACUAAGAGUUCAUGUCUUCAUCACUUUAUGUUUCUUUGGUCUCUUCAACUUUGAGUGCACACUUUUUCUUUUUAUGAUCACCUUCUUCAUUUUCAAUAACCCUUUUUAGUUCAACCUCAUGUUCAUGCAAUUUGUCAAACAAAGCAGUCAAAUCCAUAUAAGACAAUUCUUUAGAUUCAAUUGUGAUUUAGGUAUCUAAGGACUUUAUUAAUUAAAUUCUCAUUUGAAAAGUCUUAUCCAUAGUUCAUAAAUGAUUAACAAUGUGAAUAAACCAUAUUUCUAUAUCUUGAAUGUUUUCUUCAAGUUUUAUUCUAAACAAUUCAUACUAAUGGUAUAAUGUGUUCAUCCUAACCCUUUUUUACCUCGGUGAUACCUUCAUAAGUAACUUAAAGGGUGUCCCACAUUUCUUUAAAUCCUGGACUUUUUUAUAUCGGAUGACCAAGUAACUUAAAGCACAAGAGGGGAUGAUUUGUGAUAAAACGAUUUUCAAAACUUUUAAGAAAACAAUUGAUUUUUAAGAAAAAGGAUGAAAAUAAGAUUAAACACGAAAGAGUAAAUAAUUAAAAAUUAAAGAAAUAAGGAAAAAGGAAAUAACACACUAGAAUUUAUACUUACCUUAAAUCACAUGAUGUACUUCGAUCCCAAAAGAUUUUCCUUGAGAGUUCCACUAACAACUUAAAUUUUUAUCACAUACCUUAUACACUAAUCGUUUAUCCGGGUUUAACUUGCAACCUUUAUAAUAUAUCAGACUCACAUCAGAAUAACAUUCUUGAUUUACAAUUAGAACUCAAUCAAAUUUAAACAACAUUUACACAAGCACACUUUUUGCUAAUGAUUUCACUCUCUCAUCACUAACGUAUGCUAAUGGUUUCACUCUCCUAGCACCAAAGUAAUUCUAAGUGUAUGAGAAAUUUUCAAGAAAAUAGUGAAUAAUAAAGAAUAGUAAUAUUUCAGAUUUCUUUUAUGCUUUAAAGGGAAAACAAGUUCUAGUAUUUUUUCAUCUAAGACAUGAAUUUUUUUUAGAUUGGAUCUGCUUCAUAAUCGAUUAGACUGUCACUCUAAUUGAUUGUGACCUAGAAAAUUAGGAAAGAAUUUGCGAGAUUCAAAAUUUAUUGGAUUAAAAGACUUCAUUAGAGGACGGGUUUAUUUCAUAAUCAAUUAAAUAAAUUUCAUAAUCAAUUAAAAAGUGAAAAAUUACUUUUUAAUUGAUUAAAUAAACUUCUUAAUCAAUUAGUCUUUCACUAAAACUAUUUUAAUUUUUUUUUUUGAAAAUAGAUGAAGUAUUUAGGAACUUCUAUUUGUUUUUAUAUUAAUAAUGUGUAAUUUGUUAUUAAGUAUUGGAUUUUCACUUAUGUUUAAAAAUAAUUAAAUAUUUAUACUUCAAAAACAUAUUUAAUAUUUAUAACAAAAAGGGUUUUAAUUAAAAUAUUUUUGUAUAAUUAUAAUUUUUUUAAAUAUAUCAUUAGAAGUUUGAGUUACUUUAAUAUUAUAUUUAAUAUUUUAAUUUUUUUAUUAGUUUAAUGAUGAGAUAACUGAAAUUUCUCUCAAAUAUGCAUCAUUCAGUCAAAUAUUAUAUAUCAAAUAAACUCCAUUAACAUAAAUAUCUACUUUUAAUAUAUAAAAGUUAAUUACCACCAUAAUUACUUAAUUACUCUAAUUACAAUACAUAAUACAACUACUUUCAUGUUCCUAUAAGUAAUUUCGUACUAAACUCUAUUUAUACUACUAAAAAAUAUUACCGUUAUUUUAUUGUUAUUGCAAUCUUAUCAUUCCAAAAUGAAAUCAAUAUUCUGAAAUCAAAUUAAUUAUUAUUGUAGUUUUUUUGCCAAAUAUUAUCGUUACUUGAUUUUCUUUAAAUGACAAAAUGAAUAUUUAAUUGUAUAAUUAUAUGUUAUUAAAUUAUAACUUUAAAAUUAAAAAUAACUAUUUAAUAUAGUUGAUUAAUAUUAAUUGAGUAAUUUAAUAUUAUUGUUAAUUUACCUACCAAUUAAUUAUUAUUAUUGUUAUUAUUAUUAUUGAUAUUUACCCGUCAUAUAUGAUAAGAAUAUUUUUAAAAUUUAAAUAGUAUAUUUAUUAUUUGAUUUGAUUUGAUUUAAUUGAGAUCCAAACUCUAUAAAUUAAAAUCGGUUACUUAUUAUGAACAAUAAUAUAGGGUCAUUCCAAUGUCAAUCUAUUAUUAAUUGAAUUUUACAUAGAUGUAAUUUUGCAAUAACACGCUGGCAUAUUGAAUCUUAUACCGCUGUUAUCUUUGCACUAACAUAUUUUAUCCUUUCAACAGAAUAAUUAUAGUAAAUACGUACAUUCUGUAUACCGAAUUAUAAUAAAAAUGUAUUAAAAUCAAAAGCAAUAAAACUGUUUACAGUAAAUAAAAAUAUAGAAUAACAUCUUAAAAUUCUACUCUAUUUGAUUAUUCAUUUACUUAUUAUUUGAUAUAUUUUUAUAUAAUAAAUAAAUUAAUAAUAAGUAAAUGAAUAAUCAAAUAGAGUAGAAUUUUAAGAUGUUAUUCUAUAUUUUUAUUUACUGUAAACAAUUUUAUUGCUUUUGAUUUUAGUACAUUACACUAAAAAAAACUCUUAUGCAAUAAAUUUGUGUACGUUGAUCCAACUAUAUAUAUAUAUAAGCAAAAAAUAUAUUAUAUUUUAAUUUUUUAAAAUAAAUUAUUGCAGUUGCGCGACCCGUGCAAACACACGGAUCCUUUGCUAGUUUACUAAUAUAACCUAUCCUUAACUAUUCAAUAUUAAUCAUCAAAUAUUAUUUAUUCAUUUUAUUGUUGAAAGAUAUAUCUCCAUCAUAUAUUUAACUUAUUUAUAUCCAUUAUCUUUAUAAAUUUCUCAUGAUUUAAUUAAUAAAAAAAAUCUAAUUCACAUACAAAUUUAGUAUAAAGAGUUUUCUAUUUUAUUAGUCAAUCAUAACUCUCACCUCAUUAAAAAUAUUUGAUUUUAAUCACAACCCUAGUAUUAAUGUAUCACAAUCAAGCUAAUUUAUCAAUUUAUAUAUUAUUAUUUAUUUGGCAAAAGUCAAAUAAAAAUAACUUUCAUGUAGAAAGAAAUCAAAUCAAAUUAAUUAUUUUGAUAGAAAAAUUUCAAUAAAAUAAGAUCUAAUCCAAUUUAAUCUCAACCAUAGUGAUUAAUAUAUAAUUAGUUAAUUAUAUAAGCUAACACAAUUGCAUAAUUUGUUUGUUGGUGUGUGUUUCAUUGUGUUCCUUGGGUGUUUUUGUUCUAUCCUCUUCUCUCAAAUCUAUAGAUCCUUCCAAUUGUUUGUUCCACGGUUGCAGUUUUGGGCCAAGAAGAACUAUCUUUGUCUUGUGCUGUGUUCUCUUGUGUUUUCGAGCACUCAGAAGAAAACCCUUUUCGCCAUGAGACCUCAGAAAACUUCGAUCCACGCCAUCUCCACAUGGGUCAGGCGACAACCACCAAAGGUCAAGGCUUUUCUUGCCGUCGUUUCCGGCAUGACCGCUCUUGUUAUCCUCCGAUUCAUCGUUCACGAUCACGAUAAUCUCUUUGUCGCUGCUGAGGCUGUUCACUCCCUCGGAAUCUCCGUUCUUAUCUAUAAACUCAUGAAAGAGAAGACCUGUGCCGGUUUGUAAUUCAAAUUAUUUCUUUUUCGAUUCAAUAUGUAUCUUGAAUCUUUUCAAUUUUUGCAUUCUUGGGUAGGUUAAAAAUUUCCCCUUUUUUGUUCUAUCAAAAGAUCAAUUUUUUGGGAUUUGUUUCGUUAGAUUUUUAUUCCAUUAUUAGAUUUCCUUAAAAGGAAAUUGAAUUUUGGCAUUACUUUUCUACGGUCUCAAUCAGAUUGGCAUUGUUUAGCUAGUUUCAAUUGUGUUUGUGUUUGGCUUAAUUGGAUCAAGAAGAGACAUUAAUUGAAUUUUUGAUUUUGUUGAUAAUGGUUUUGAAUGAUGUACACAGGAUUAUCACUCAAAUCCCAGGAAUUAACAGCUAUAUUUUUAGCUGUUAGGCUGUAUUGUAGUUUUGUCAUGGAAUAUGACAUACACACCGUACUUGAUUUGGCUACUUUCGUCACUACCGUGUGGGUUAUAUACAUGAUUCGUUUUAAGCUAAAGGCUAGUUACAUGGAAGAGAAGGAUAACUUUGCAAUAUAUUAUGUGGUAAGCUCCAAUUGUUUCAUCCUAAAUUUAAAAGCAUUUUUUUUUCAUUUUCUUUUAUGGUAAAUAUGGUUUGAGUAUUCAAUGCUGUAUCUUUAGAUGAUAGAGAUGUACUAUGAAGCAUCUCGCAUAUUUGAUGUGGCAUUGUGUGAAAUGGUUGUAUAUAUUGAGAUUUAUUGUAACUUUUGCAUUUGCCUUCCAUCGGCAUGAUCUUGAUAAUACUUUACUUUUGAAAAUGGAUGCAGGUGUUACCAUGUGCCGUGUUAGCCUUGGUUAUUCAUCCAUCAACUUCUCAUCAUAUAUUGAACAGGAUUUUCUGGGCAUUCUGUGUAUAUCUGGAAGCUGUUUCAGUUCUACCCCAACUUCGGGUCAUGCAGAACACCAAAGUAUAAUUUCUUAACUCUGGGAUAUAUGUCAAUCUUCUAAUGUAUGGGAUCUGAUUCUAUUACUUUCCUUCUGAAUUGUUUUAUUUUGUACUUUCAGAUCGUUGAGCCAUUCACCGCUCAUUAUGUAUUUGCACUGGGUGUAGCAAGAUUCUUGAGCUGUGCUCAUUGGGUUCUCCAGGUCUGUUCAUGAAGUUUCACAAUUUCAUUAGUCAGUCCUUUGAUUCACUUGCAAAUUUAUAACUGCACAAUUCUCUCCUGUUGAUCAAGGAGUGGAAUAUGAACAAAUUUUGAUAAGUUUUAGUUUCUAUUUUAUUUCCAACGGUAUAAGUAUGACUUACAACAUUUUUUAAGGGCAUCUUGUGCUGUAAAGCUCUUGCUAUUUUGUGAGGGUCAAACACCAUGUAGGCUACAACCUUGUAUUGGCAAAUGAUACUGAUUUGACGACCCAAGUCUGUAACCCCUGAGUUACAUGGCAGCAACUCCUAUUGCAAUGUUUGCGUGUUCACAAGUUUACAUCCGAUCAUAUUGAUGGUCACGUGGUUACAAGAAUGCUGCUGUUAUUGCCUUGUUUCUUAUGUUUUUGUACUUGGAUUUUUUAACCAUAUGUCUCCUACUAACUUACUAUUUCUCGUAACAGGUGUUAGAUACCCGUGGACAUUUGUUGGUUGCCUUAGGGUAUGGUUUAUGGCCGUCAAUGGUUCUUAUCUCAGAAAUUGUCCAGACAUUCAUCUUAGCCGAUUUCUGUUACUAUUAUGUCAAAAGGUUAGUAUAGUUCAUAAUAUAGUUUUUUUGCAAUCUUUUUGCGGCUUUUGCUGGUUACGACGUAAGAUAUGUCCAACACGACUCCACACGAUUGUCCUAAUGAUGUUUAUUAUAUUGCAGCGUUUUCGGAGGACAGCUUGUUCUGCGUCUUCCCUCUGGAGUGGUGUGAUUAAAGAUCUAUGCCCUCACAUUUUCUUUAACUUAAUCAGGCAUCAUGUUUGGUUACCCAUGUUAGACUUAGAGUACACUUUGUGUUGACAUACUUAUUCUGUUCCUGGUGGAAUGUGUAAAGUUGGGGAUGAAAGUAGACUAAAUAUAUUUUAUGUUAUGCGGUACGGUUAUUUAUUAUGGUUCAUAAUGUUUUAUACUUCAUAAAGUCUCUAUUUGAUUAGAGUUUUUGUUACAAUUACUCUUCUUUACUCUUCUUUAUUGAUAAACUUUGUAUCACAAUUGUAUAAAGAUUUUUAAGCACAAAGGUUCCUUGCUAGAAUCCCCUCAAAAGUGAUUCCAGGUCCAAAAGCAAGUAUCAAUCCCCAUUCAGGAUCUCCUCCUCCUUCCUUUCUAAUCUUGUUUCCUUCUUCUAUCAUGUACUCCAACACAUAAACAAUAGUAUUACUGCUAGCAUUUCCAUAAUCCCUAAGAGCUUUCCUACUGGCAUUCAGCUUCUUAGGCAACAGCUCAAGCCGUUUCUCCAUGCGAUUCAAUAUCGCAGGUCCUCCUGGAUGAACAGCCCAAAACAGCUUAUUGUACUCCUUAUUCUCCAACCCACCAACAUCCAUUAGGUUGUCACAGAAUCCCUCAACAUUGUCUUCAAUUAUCUGAGGAAGAUCUCUCGCCAGCGUGAAGCUUAUCCCUUCCUCUGUCAGUCUCCCAUCGAUUUUCUUCUCAGUGUCUGGUAUAAACUCCUGAGCUGAAGUAUGAAGCUCGAACAACGGCUUCUCAGUUUCCAAUAUCGGGUCUGAACCAAUUAUCAUAGCACCAGCACCAUCUCCAAAGAGCGCCACACCAACAAGAUCAUAGGGUCUAUCAGCACUCGGUGGCUUGAAUCCAAUAAUUGUCGUCUCAGAAGUAGCAAGCAAAAUUCUGCUACCAGGGUUGUUUUCAGCUAUGUCUUUUGCAACGCGCAAACCAGCCACACCUCCAGAGCAACCAGCGAAAUAAAGCAUAACUCGUUGAAUUUUAGGACUCAGUCCUAGUCCGCUCGAUAAAUAAAGAUCACCACCCGGUAACCUAGCUUCACUAGACGAAACAUAAACCACAUGUGUUAUGUCAGAUAAAGAUCCACCCCAAUUCUUUAUGCAAACUUGAGAAGCUUCAAUCGCCAUUUGUGUCACUGCCUUGUUACAUAUCUCUAGACGUUGUUUUACAGUAGCCGCGCCUUCAACAGCAAGUUCCGGAUACUUUUUUAGUAUCUCCUCCGACAUAACAACAUACCUCGUUUUCACUGUCGUCGUCUUGCCUGUUGUUCAUACCAAAUCAAGCCAAAUUUAAUCGUUAGUAACACAUAAACAUGGUUUUAGUAAAAAAAAAUACUUGAACUAUUGUGUGUAUUUCACUAUAUACUUACAAAGUCUAGCAAGUUUCUGCUUAAGUUCAGGAUUAUCACAAUUAGUGUCCCUGAAAUAUCCAUCAACUAAAUACUCUUGCAUCACAAGCUGGUGAGGGAAAGCCUUGCCAAGAGCCAAUAUAGUAGCCUUACCUGGUGUGACAUGCUUUGUGACAGUUCUAACUAUACCUUCAUCUCCCAUAUUUCUUCUUUUUGCUAGUUCAAAUAUGUGUUAUAUUUGUCUAUGCAGUGAAUGUUACUUAUCCACAAUAUUUUGGAUAGAGAAUGCACAAGUAUAUAUAGUAUUGUAUUUUGGCAUGUUGGGAGUAAUAAUAGUGUGACAAGUUUAGAAUAGGCAAUACAUGAAGUGUGCAAUUGGUAAAUGUGUGUUAGUUGGAAGGUAAGUCGUUCAUAGUAAUUGUGUCAUACAUUAGUUGCUAGAAUGAGGUUGGGACUUGAGAUUUGAUUCUUAUUUGUAUUGUAAGCAUGUGUUUUCUCCAAUUUUGACUCUCUCUUCACAUCACUAAAUCUGAGUUGAGUUUAGCUUAAUAUGAUCUCUAUGUUUAAGAAUCAUGGAAAGUUUAAAUAGAGUAUUUUAUACUUUUAGAUUGUAGGAUUUAAAGGUUUAAAAAUUAUAAAAUUUAAAUCAUUUUACACGUUUGGGUAUGAUUCAAAAGUGUAAAAAUUAUAAAAUUUAAAAUCAAUAUUUUAUACGUUCUAAUCGUAGAAUACGAACCGUAAAAUAUUAUAAAAGAUUUUAAGAGUAUUUUACACAUUUGAAUUAUAGGAUUUGAAAGUGUAAAAGAAAUUUGAAAAUUUUGAAGGACAAUUUAGUUACAGUGUAGAAUUCAAAAAAUUUAAAGAGUCCGUCCCGUCCCGUUCAAUUUUCUUUGUGUAUUUCCGCAAUAAUGAACAUUUACAUAGACUUUUCUGUUUUUAAGUUUAAAAUAUGCAGUGUUAGCUGACUUUACCAGUCUUGCCCUCACUUUUUUUUGCAGGAUGAGCUUAGGUCGUCCCGUCUUGUUUUUUUUUUCUUCAGGUUUUUACGGGACGAGGCGGGUAUGCCUGUUUGACAUCUCUACCUUUGAGUGGUAGUAUCUUUUUGUUGUUAAAAAAAUUGAAAAAUUGAAAAAGAAUGUUUUAAUCAUUUGAAUUGUGGAACCUAAAAAAAAUCUAUAAAAAAUGUGAGAUUCGAAAAGCCAUAAAUUAUUAGAGAGGUCUAUCGAUUUUUUUAUCAUGUUAGGCUGAUUUGAGGGUUGUAUGAGAAUCUGCUGGAGAUAUGAAUUCGACGGACAUAGAACAUGAAUUUUACAUGGUCAAUCUUAAUAGGGUUGAAUACAAAGAUAUAAUUAGAGAAAGUGGUACGUGCAUGGUAUUUAAUCACUAUUUUACAUUGCGCGAUUGGAUUAUUAUUUUUUACAAGAUAAAUUACAUCAUUAUAGUACAAUGACUUGAAUUUGUAUCCUUAAAAUAUUAUGAUAGGAGUGUAUUUAUUGCUUUUGCUACAACCAUUGAGAAAUCAGAUGAAGUUUAUUGAUGCACAAGAGAAAGAAGAUGGAGAUGAGGAAAGAGAAGAGAGAAACUGAAUCGUAACUAAUUUUUAAAGUGAAAUUGAUUGCAAUAAAAAUUCUAUUACACUUUUCUAACUUAGCAUAGGUUCAAUAUUUAUACAUACACUAAGAAUUACUUGUCAAACUAAAUGCAUCUCAAAUUAAACUUAAAUGAUAAUUAAAUGAAAUGCUAACUGAAUAUUGGAUUACACUCCAAUACCAUCACCAAUACCAUCAUGUUUACCGAUAAAUAUGAUAAACAAAACAAGUUUAUAUUAAUACUUAAGGAUCAAAUUUGAAAAUCUCCCGGAACAUAUUUGUGUGAAUUUAAACCUCUAAACAUCAUGUUAUGAUUGAAAUCGAAACAAAAUGUGAAGAUAAUAAUGUGAAAUUUCGACAAGACUUAGAAUGUAAAAGGUUUUGAAAUAAAGAUGAACUCAGAUCGAAAUGUAAACUGAAGAUAAAAUGACAGGAAUCGAAAUGUAACUGAAUGCAGAGAAAUACUUGAACGUAAAAGUGUUUGAAAUUU
rnacentral:lncRNA from 1 species